AAAAAAAAGAAAACAAAUCCAAAAAAAUGUGAGAUGGAGACCAAAAGAGAAGAAACGAAAGCGAGGGCCAAUGGGCAAUGGGCGACGGGCGACAAACAUAAGCAUAGAGAGUGGAUUUUGGCGUUAGUUUGGUGAGACAACAACGUCUUCAGACUCAAGAGAAGGACGUAUGUGCUGACAAGCUUCGCCGAAAGAUAAGAAGCCCCUCUACUUUUUUUCUUUCUUUUCAAACAAUUAUUAUUCAAUUGGGAAUCCAUUGAUUUUUUCCCCUCGUUCAAUUGCGUUAUCUCCUUGGCAUUUUUCAGCAGCAAAUCCAUUAUUCAUUAGUUUAAAAUACAUCGUUUGGAUUUGAUUCUUAAUGGUUUUUUUUUUUUUUUUUUUUUUUUUUUUUUGGAAUAUGAAUAGACAAAGCGAAUGGUCCAAAAUGCACACCAAGUGUUUGUGAAAAUGUUUGCGUCAUUUUUAUAUGCAUAUGGCGUUGGUUGGGCGGGCAGGGGGAAAAAAACGUACUGCCAGCGCCGCCCAUGGGCGGAUUAGUCAUCUACCCUGACUCAUCUCCACAUUAUACACGAAGGAAUCCGAUGUAGUAGGUGAGUGAUUCUUCUGCAUGGAGCAAUUGGAGAAUGACACGUGGUGACGAAGGGCAUGAGUGACCCUUGAGUGGAGAAUAACUUGGGGGAACCCUAAGAUGAGAGGGUUGGUGCUUUUAUGGAAUAAAAUAACAUGUUAUGCUCUGAUCAAAUGCAUUAUAAAAGCAAGGGGUUGGUUGGUUGGAACCUCCCACAGACACAACAACACAACAACAAAGAUGAUGACAGAUUCUGCUUUCAACUUUCAAUUCACCACCCUCUUCAUAUUUACACAAACCAACCAAGCUUGUAAUCUACACCUUUAUUUAUUUAUUAUUUAUUAUUAUUAUUUUGUAUGUUCA